CAAUGGCUUUGUUUUUCCAUUCCCAGGGAUGAUUAGCAUAUGCAGAGUGUCAGCUGUAUUUCUGAAGGUGUCAGCUGGAGUUUCCAGGCCGACAAAAUUCUAAUGGAAGGCUGUGGCUGUGACAGAUAUGCUGGCAACGACAGAAUGAUAGGCUGCCGGAAAAUGCUUGCAAAAAUGUGAUUUAUUCCUCUCAGUGGAUCUGCGGCACAUUCACGAAGAGCAUAGGAGGAAUAUCAAGACAAAAUGGUAUUUUCCAGUAAUGAAGGAAUAAACCUGGAUAUCCACAA